GGCGGGAAUGGAAUCAGCAGGAUGUAGCCAUGCCGCGUGUGUGAAGAAGGUCUUCGGGUUGUAAAGCACUUUCAGCGGGGAGGAAAGGCCCGUAGCUAAUAUCUGCUGGCUGUGACGUUACCCGCAGAACAAGCACCGGCUAACUCCGUGCCAGCAGCCGCGGUAAU
rnacentral:rRNA from 1 species